UGAGGGGGGCUGCUCCUAGUACGAGAGGACCGGAGUGGACGCAUCACUGGUGUUCGGGUUGUCAUGCCAAUGGCACUGCCCGGUAGCUAAAUGCGGAAAAGAUAAGUGCUGAAAGCAUCUAAGCACGAAACUUGCCCCGAGAUGAGUCUUCCCUGAGACUUUGAGUCUCCUGAAGGAACGUUAAAGACGAUGACGUUGAUAGGCCGGGUGUGUAAGCGCAGCGAUGCGUUGAGCUAACCGGUACUAAUGAACCGUGAGGCUUAACCUUACAACGCCGAAGCUGUU
rnacentral:rRNA from 5 species